AAGGCGACGAUGUCUAGGGGGUCUGAGAGGAUGAUCCCCCACACUGGUACUGAGACACGGACCAGACUCCUACGGGAGGCAGCAGUGAGGAAUAUUGCGCAAUGGAGGAAACUCUGACGCAGCCAUCCCGCGUGCAGGAUUGACGGCCCUAUGGGUUGUAAACUGCUUUUCUAUACCAAGAAACACCGAUACGUGUAUCGGUUUGCCGGUAGUAUAGGAAUAAGCAUCGGCUAACUCCGUGCCAGCAGCCGCGGUAAUACGGAGGAUGCAAGCGUUAUCCGGAAUCACUGGGUUUAAAGGGUGCGCAGGCGGAAUAGUAAGUCAGAGGUGAAAGCCCACAGCUCAACUGUGGAAUUGCCUUUGAUACUGUUAUUCUUGAGUGUAGUUGAAGUAGGCGGAAUAUAGCAUGUAGCGGUGAAAUGCAUAGAUAUGCUAUAGAACACCAAUUGCGAAGGCAGCUUGCUAAACUAUAACUGACGCUGAGGCACGAAAGCGUGGGGAGCGAACAGGAUUAGAUACCCUGGUAGUCCACGCCGUAAACUAUGAACACUCGCUGUUGGCAAUACACAGUCAGCGGCUGAGCGAAAGCGUUAAGUGUUCCACCUGGGAAGUACGAUCGCAAGGUUGAAACUCAAAGGAAUUGACGGGGGCCCGCACAAGCGGAGGAGCAUGUGGUUUAAUUCGAUGAUACGCGAGGAACCUUACCUGGGCUUAAAUGUAUAUUGACGUACUGAGAAAUCAGUAUUUCUUCGGACAAUUUACAAGGUGCUGCAUGGUUGUCGUCAGCUCGUGCCGCGAGGUGUCGGGUUAAGUCCCAUAACGAGCGCAUCCCCUACUUCUAGUUACCAGCAUUUCGGAUGGGGACUCUAGAGGAACUGCCUACGCAAGUAGAGAGGAAGGUGGGGAUGACGUCAAAUCAGCACGGCCCUUAUGUCCAGGGCUACACACGUGCUACAAUGGCCGGUACAGAGGGCAGCUACAUAGCAAUAUGAUGCUAAUCUCAAAAGCCGGUCUCAGUCCGGAUUGGAGUCUGCAACUCGACUCCAUGAAGCUGGAUUCGCUAGUAAUCGCACAUCAGCAAUGGUGCGGUGAAUACGUUCCCGGGCCUUNNGUACACACCGCCCGUCAAGCCAUGGAAGUUGGGGGUACCUGAAGUCGAUUGCCGUAAGGCGUUGCCUAGG
rnacentral:rRNA from 1 species